rnacentral:lncRNA from 1 species
UUAUGUAUAAAUGCACUGAGUAUUGAUGAUGAUGCAUAGACUUGUGCCAAGCUUGUGGUUUAGGUUACAUUAUGCUUAUACUUAUCAUUAUGCAAAUGAAAUGGUAAGUUAUGUUUUAUUAUCUACGAACUUACUAAGCAUUAUUUGCUUAAGUAGUUAAUUUCCUAUGUUUUAUAGAUUAUCGUAAGCUCGAUCGGUUUGGAAGCUUGUCAGAGAUUUAUCACACUAUCCAGCAUAGAUAUCGGUAGUUCUUGA